rnacentral:rRNA from 1 species
CCUACGGGCGGCAGCAGUGAGGAAUAUUGGUCAAUGGGCUAAGGCCUGAACCAGCCAAGUCGCGUGAGGGAAGACGGUCCAAUGGAUCGUAAACCUCUUUUGUCGGGGAGCAACGACGCCACGUGUGCCCGAAGUGAGAGUACCCGAAGAAAAAGCAUCGGCUAACUCCGUGCCAGCAGCCGCGGUAAUACGGAGGAUGCGAGCGUUAUCCGGAUUUAUUGGGUUUAAAGGGUGCGUAGGCGGAACAUUAAGUCAGCGGUAAAAUCGAGGGGCUCAACCCCUUGAAGCCGUUGAAACUGGUGAUCUUGAGUGGGCGAGAAGUAUGCGGAAUGCGUGGUGUAGCGGUGAAAUGCAUAGAUAUAUGGAAGAACACCAGUGGCGAAGGCGGCCGCCUGGCCUGUUACUGACGCUGAGGCACGAAAGCGUGGGGAGCAAAUAGGAUUAGAUACCCCAGUAGUC